ACGGGUGAGUAACACGUGGGUAACCUACCUAUAAGACUGGGAUAACUUCGGGAAACCGGAGCUAAUACCGGAUAAUAUUUCGAACCGCAUGGUUCGAUAGUGAAAGAUGGUUUUGCUAUCACUUAUAGAUGGACCCGCGCCGUAUUAGCUAGUUAGUAAGGUAACGGCUUACCAAGGCGACGAUAGUAGCCGACCUGAGAGGGUGAUCGGCCACACUGGAACUGANACACGGUCCAGACUCCUACGGGAGGCAGCAGCC
rnacentral:rRNA from 1 species